rnacentral:lncRNA from 1 species
CCCUAUCUUAGCUUUCUUGCCAUUUGCCACAGACAUCAUUCCCUCGCUCUCUCCAUCCUCAGCUUGUUCCUCACCUUUCGGGUGAACCUUUUUCUUUUUCUUGUUUUUCGGCUUCUCUUCCUCCUCGAUCACAUCCUCAGAUGGUGCAGAAGCCUUCCUUUUUUCUUUCUUCCCUGCCUUCUUGUUGUCCCUUGCGUCCUCUGUUCCUCCCGUCUCCAAGUCUGUGCAGUUGGACUUGGGUCUCUUCUUGUUGUCUUUCUCUACAGUUACCGUAGCCUUGGCAACUGCCAAUUUUUCCUUCUUUUUCAAUGCUACUUCUUCCUCCUCCUCUCUGUUCUCAGGGGCCACUCUCUUUUCCUUCUUCACCGCCACCCUUUUCUCUGUCUCUCUGUUUUCAGGGGCCACUUUCUUUUUCUUCUUCUUCUUGAUAAUCACCACCUCCUUUUCUGCCUCUCCAUUCUCAAUGGCCACCCUCUUCUUUUCCUUCUUUGUCACCCCCAGCUUUUUCUCUGCCUCUGUGUUUUCAGGGGCCACUUUCUUUUUCUUCUUCUUUAUAAUCACCACCUCCUUCUCUGUCUCUCCAUUCUUAGUGGCCACUCUCUUUUCCUUCUUAAUCAACCCCACCGUUUUCGCUGCCUCUUUGUUCUCAUGGGCCACUUUCUUCUUUUUCUUCUUUAUAGUUACCACCUCUUUCUCUGCCUCUCCAUCCUCAGAGGUCAAUCUCAUCUUUUUCUUUUUUGGCAUCUCCCCAACUAUUUCCUCCUGAAUAUCCCCUGUAGGUUCAGCAUCUAUAGGGAUGUUCUUUUUAAUUUUGACUUUUUUUUCCUCUACCUCGGCCUGAGCCACGGUCAUCUUUCCCUUCUUUUUCCGGCCCAUCUUGGCCUCACCCUUCUCUCCUGGCUCGAUAAUACUGACCUCCGUCUCUUCUGCCUUACAGCUGUGCUUCUUUUUCUUGGGCCUUCCAUUAUCUCCAUCACCUUUCUUCUUGUUGUUCUGCUUCUUCUGGAAGCAUCCUCCAUCACUGUCGUUUGUCUCUGCUGUAUUCAGACUACGGGUGUCCAUCAAUGA